rnacentral:rRNA from 1 species
ACUCCUACGGGAGGCAGCAGUGGGGAAUAUUGCACAAUGGGCGAAAGCCUGAUGCAGCGACGCCGCGUGGGGGAUGACGGUCUUCGGAUUGUAAACCCCUUUCAGUAGGGACGAAGCGCAAGUGACGGUACCUGCAGAAGAAGCACCGGCUAACUACGUGCCAGCAGCCGCGGUAAUACGUAGGGUGCGAGCGUUGUCCGGAAUUACUGGGCGUAAAGAGCUCGUAGGCGGUUUGUCACGUCGUCUGUGAAAUCCCUCGGCUUAACCGGGGGCGUGCAGGCGAUACGGGCAGACUUGAGUACUACAGGGGAGACUGGAAUUCCUGGUGUAGCGGUGAAAUGCGCAGAUAUCAGGAGGAACACCGGUGGCGAAGGCGGGUCUCUGGGUAGUAACCGACGCUGAGGAGCGAAAGCAUGGGUAGCGAACAGGAUUAGAUACCCUGGUAGUCCAUGCCGUAAACGGUGGGCGCUAGGUGUGGGGUCCUUCCACGGACUCCGUGCCGUAGCUAACGCAUUAAGCGCCCCGCCUGGGGAGUACGGCCGCAAGGCUAAAACUCAAAGGAAUUGACGGGGGCCCGCACAAGCGGCGGAGCAUGUGGAUUAAUUCGAUGCAACGCGAAGAACCUUACCUAG